rnacentral:rRNA from 1 species
CCAGACUCCUACGGGAGGCAGCAGUGGGGAAUAUUGCACAAUGGGGGAAACCCUGAUGCAGCGACGCCGCGUGAGUGAAGAAGUAAUUCGUUAUGUAAAGCUCUAUCAGCAGGGAAGAAAAUGACGGUACCUGAGUAAGAAGCCCCGGCUAACUACGUGCCAGCAGCCGCGGUAAUACGUAGGGGGCAAGCGUUAUCCGGAUUUACUGGGUGUAAAGGGAGCGUAGACGGCAGUGCAAGUCUGGAGUGAAAGGCGGGGGCCCAACCCCCGGACUGCUCUGGAAACUAUGUGACUGGAGUGCAGGAGAGGUGAGCGGAAUUCCUAGUGUAGCGGUGAAAUGCGUAGAUAUUAGGAGGAACACCAGUGGCGAAGGCGGCCUGCUGGACAGUAACUGACGUUGAGGCUCGAAAGCGUGGGGAGCAAACAGGAUUAGAUACCCCGGUAAA